CACAGACGAACAAGCACUUGAUUCGGCUUUAAAAUAACUGCAGUUAUGUCUGCUAGUGUAAGAUUUGUAGCAAGAAUUGUGAUACAACAUUUAGUAAGCAUCAGUACGAAUAUGGGUUAGGUCUGAAGCAUCAUGCAAUAAACUAAAAUCAUUCCGUGCUCCCAUAGCCUCGAUUAAGCUUUUUUUUGUGCUAAUUCCUCGCAUAUUAAUAAGUUCAGUAGAAGAACCCUGACAUAUAACACACUUAUCCCAUUGUAUUUCAUUCCUACUUCAUUUCGGGCUUGAUUGGACCAGUUUAACAGGACUGUGAAUGUGUGCCAUACUCCGGGUCUGAAACGUGACCGAAGGAUUUGAUUUGUAUAUUACAAUUAUAACAAAACUAUCAAUUAAAAAAACCUAUUAAAGUUAUGAAAACCAACAAAAAAAUAUUUCCAAUUACAAAACAACGAUCUUCAAACUAACUGGACUAUUCCAAAUAUACAAAUCGACCAUACAACAAGUAAAAAAGAGAAAGGAAGUUAGUGACAAUUGUCCUAGUUAAUGACCUGAUAGUGUGAGCUACAAAACGAUUAACAGCACGAGAAAGGCGUGUUUGAAUCAAGAUAGAAUUAUCACUAAAUUUGUGUUUUAAACUGCUAUUUUCUUCUUACCUAUUAACAUCACACGAAAGAUAUUUGGCACACAUAUGAACCAUGUCUUAUUGAUGUAAUCAGAGUAAAAAUCCCGUGAUAGUAACAC
rnacentral:lncRNA from 1 species